ensembl:lncRNA
CUGCACGGCGCUUUCCACAAAGCCCUCACGUCCUUUCUCAAACUGCAUCCAAAGCAACCCAGUGCCCUGUGCUUGUUGUACCCGGAGGUAUCGGUGCCAGGAGUUGCUGCUGUGUUUGCAAUGCCAUUGUGUCGGCAGGGUGACGUUAAUGGGCUGCAAUGCCCUCAGUCAUUCAAAGCAUCCUUGCAGAUGUUCCUAGUGAGGGGCAUGUUUCAUUGACACCAUAGGUUGUUUUCUGGAAAAUGAAAGAGUGGGCUUGCGUACCUCCAGAUGGUUUUCAUUUCCUGCUGAGCCCAGUGCACUUCACGUCUGCUGGCAUUGCCCCACGGCCCUGUUGUGGUUUAAGCCGGUGGGUGGCUCAGCACCACACAGUCCUUUGCUUACUGCCCCCUUCCCAGUGGGAUGGGGGAGAGAAUUAUGGGGGGAAAAAAAAAGAAGGUGGAACUAAUGCGUUGAGAGAAAUUUCUUUCCAAAGGCAGAGAAAAGGAAGGACCGAAGUAAUAUAUAUGUCUAUUUACGAAUGUAUGUAACAAGUGAUGUAGAAGCGGUGGCUCAGCACCUCCCAACCAAUGGC